rnacentral:rRNA from 1 species
CCUACGGGAUGCAGCAGUGGGGAAUAUUGCACAAUGGGGGGAACCCUGAUGCAGCGACGCCGCGUGAGUGAAGAAGUCACUCGUGAUGUUAAGCCCUAUCAGCAGGGAAGCAAAUGACGGUACCUGACUAAGAAGCCCCGGCUAAAUACGUGCCAGCAGCCGCGGUAAUACGUAGGGGGCAAGCGUUAUCCGGAUUUACUGGGUGUAAAGGGGGCGUAGACGGUAGCGCGAGUCCGAAGUGAAAGUCUGGGGCCCAACCCCGGGACAGCUUUGGAAACUGGGGAGAUUGAGUGCGGGAGGGGCAGGCGGAAUUCGUGGUGUAGCGGUGAAAUGCAUAGAUAUCAAGAAGAACACCGACGGCGAAGGCAGCCUACUGGACCGUAACUGACGUUGAGGCUCGAAAGCGUGGGGAGCGAACAGGAUUAGAUACCCUUGUAGUC